rnacentral:rRNA from 1 species
AACGAACGCUGGCGGCAUGCCUAACACAUGCAAGUCGAACGAGAUCUUCGGGUCUAGUGUCGCACGGGUGCGUAACGCGUGGGAAUCUGCCCUUUGGUUCGGAAUAACAGUUGGAAACGACUGCUAAUACCGGAUGAUGACGAAAGCCCAAAGAUUUAUCGCCAGAGGAUGAGCCCGCGUAGGAUUAGCUAGUUGGUGUGGUAAAGGCGCACCAAGGCGACGAUCCUUAGCUGGUCUGAGAGGAUGAUCAGCCACACUGGGACUGAGACACGGCCCAGACUCCUACGGGAGGCAGCAGUGGGGAAUAUUGGACAAUGGGCGAAAGCCUGAUCCAGCAAUGCCGCGUGAGUGAUGAAGGCCUUAGGGUUGUAAAGCUCUUUUACCCGGGAUGAUAAUGACAGUACCGGGAGAAUAAGCUCCGGCUAACUCCGUGCCAGCAGCCGCCGUAA